GCCUCGAUAGCUCAGCGGUAGAGCACUUCCAUGGUAAGGAAGGGGUCAAGAGUUCAAUCCUCUUUCGAGGCU
rnacentral:tRNA from 1 species